GCAUUGUUGGUUUAGUGGUAAAAUCCGUCGUUGCCAUUUCUCUCAUUCCGAUUCAAUUCAGCUCGAGAGCAUCGUAUCGACGGGCCCCGUGUUCGAUUCACGGACAAUGCA